rnacentral:lncRNA from 1 species
GCCCACAUUAGAUUAUAAUCUUCUAAUCAUAUGGUAGAAUGUUCUUUGGAUCUUGGAAGUGUAUGCACAUGGUCCAAAUUCAAAUCCAAUGUUUUUUAUGCAUAUCAAAGUCAAAGCAAUCACAAAAUUGUAGAAACAAAAUUUCUUCUUAAAUAUGUUAUUUUUUAGCGCACAUACAAAAAGAAGUAAAUCUAUGGAGGUAAUGAGUCAAAAAAGACCAACUUAUUUCUUUCUUCAGUAUUUUUUCUACACUAACUUCAUUCAUGACUCAAUGGUUUUCUUUGCCAAUUAAAAAAAUAUCCCACGAAACUCACAUAUUUGAUUUAUUCUUCUCACAUUUUGAUGAUUGAUUCAAGGAUUAGCUUGAAGAUAUCUAAUGUCACAUAAAGUUUUUGGAAGUAACACGUUAAUAUAGUCAUUU